AUGUUAGUCACACUUUGGGCACUCUGGUCUGCUCGAUGCAAAGCCAUUCAUGAAGGAAUUUUCCAGAGCCCUCAGUCCAUAUAUGCAUUCAUUACUAGCUACAUCGCUGAGCUGAAGCUGAUCAGGGAGAACAAAACUACGCACACCCAGCAUGGGGGACCAAGAGCAUCCCACGCCCUUCGGCCCAAAGCACCUCCUGCUGGUUUUGCAAAAGUCCAUGUUGAUGCGGCAGUUCGGAAAGGAAGAGGGGGAUCGGCAGCGGCUGUUUGCAGAGAUAGCCUAGGCAAUUACCUGGGAAGCUCUGCCUUGGUGGUUCAGGGGAUUGACGAUCCCUCCACUUUGGAAACCAUAGCGUGCAGAGAAGCGUUGGCGUUGGCGCAAGAUCUUCAACUUCAAAAUAUGAUAGUAGCAUCAGAUGCCAAGGAAGUCGUCCAGGAGAUACACAACAGGUCGAGAGGAGCAAACGGAGCUAUUAUUAGCGAGAUUCUUUCUUAUUCCAGUUUGUUUCAUUGUAUCUUUACUUUUGAAAGUCGUAGGGCAAACAUAGAAGCUCAUAAGUUAGCCAAGCACUCGUUGUCUUUAGGUCCGGGGCGCCACGUUUGGUUCGGGCAACCCCAUGAACUUACUUGUAUCCCACAAUCUGUGGUAUUCGAUUAA
rnacentral:rRNA from 1 species